AUUGAACGCUGGCGGCAGGCCUAACACAUGCAAGUCGAGCGGAUGAAGGGAGCUUGCUCCUGGAUUCAGCGGCGGACGGGUGAGUAAUGCCUAGGAAUCUGCCUGGUAGUGGGGGAUAACGUCCGGAAACGGGCGCUAAUACCGCAUACGUCCUUAGGGAGAAAGUGGGGGAUCUUCGGACCUCACGCUAUCAGAUGAUCCUAGGUCGGAUUAGCUAGUUGGUGGGGUAAAGGCCUACCAAGGCGACGAUCCGUAACUGGUCUGAGAGGAUGAUCAGUCACACUGGAACUGAGACACGGUCCAGACUCCUACGGGAGGCAGCAGUGGGGAAUAUUGGACAAUGGGCGAAAGCCUGAUCCAGCCAUGCCGCGUGCGUGAAGAAGGUCUUCGGAUUGUAAAGCACUUUAAGUUGGGAGGAAGGGCAGUAAGUUAAUACCUUGCUGUUUUGACGUUACCAACAGAAUAAGCACCGGCUAACUUCGUG
rnacentral:rRNA from 1 species